rnacentral:lncRNA from 1 species
UAUUUUUUUGACAAACAUGGAUCAGGUAAUGCAGUUUGUCGAGCCAAGUCGGCAGUUUGUAAAGGACUCGAUUCGGCUGGUUAAAAGAUGCACCAAACCUGAUAGAAAAGAAUUCCAGAAGAUCGCCAUGGCCACAGCGAUUGGAUUCGCUAUCAUGGGGUUCAUCGGCUUCUUUGUGAAACUGAUCCACAUCCCUAUUAAUAACAUUAUUGUGGGUGGCUGAGUCUUUGCUCAUCGUGGGACUGGUGAACCAAUGAGGGGGUGACAAGCUCAUGAAGUAAAAGUUGCCUGGAUGCUUUGUGGUUUUUGUUUCUUUCCUCCUAACUAUGACUUUUCUAUUUCUAAAUUAAAAUAAUUUCAAA